GACGAACGCUGGCGGCGUGCCUAAUACAUGCAAGUCGAACGAACCGCGACUAGGUGCUUGCACUUGGUCAAGGUGAGUGGCGAACGGGUGAGUAACACGUGGGUAACCUACCUCAUAGUGGGGGAUAACAGUCGGAAACGACUGCUAAUACCGCAUAGGACAUAGGAUCACAUGAUCCAGUGAGGAAAGGUGGCGCAAGCUAUCGCUAAGAGAUGGACCCGCGGUGCAUUAGCUAGUUGGUAGGGUAAAGGCCUACCAAGGCGAUGAUGCAUAGCCGACCUGAGAGGGUGAUCGGCCACAUUGGGACUGAGACACGGCCCAAACUCCUACGGGAGGCAGCAGUAGGGAAUCUUCCGCAAUGGACGCAAGUCUGACGGAGCAACGCCGCGUGAGUGAAGAAGGUCUUCGGAUCGUGAAGCUCUGUUGUUAGAGAAGAACAGCGCAUAGAGUAACUGUUAUGCGUGUGACGGUAUCUAACCAGAAAGCCACGGCUAACUACGUG
rnacentral:rRNA from 1 species